UUUUUUUUUUUUUUUUGGUAUUUCCAUACUCUUUGGUCUUUUACAUACUAAUCCCUAAUGAGUUGACAGUGUAAUCUUGCAAAACUACUUAAUCUCUUGCUAAAAAACUGAAAAAUAAUUGCAAAUCCUUGCAAAAUUUACUAUCAUGGGUUGCUUCUCUGUUAAAGAGAAACUUUUCUUCUUUCAUAUUACAGUAGAUUACGUUUGUAUUUUCAUAAUUUUUUUUAUUAAUUAAAGCUAUGUACACUUUCGUCUUUUUACAUAUUAAUUUCUGUUGAGUUAUCAGUGUGAUAUCUGCAAAUCAACAUAAAUCUUCUGCCAAAUCUCUGAAAAAUCUUUGCAAAUCCCUGCAAGAUUUACUAUCAGUCAGUUGGUUCUUGCUUUCUUGCAGGGGUUUCGGCUGUCCCUUGGUAAACUAUUGGGAUUAAUGGCUACAUUUAGUUGAGGUUGUUCAGUGUUAUUUAGCUAAGUAUAUAAAUAGCCUUUAAUUCAUCAGUUUCAUUUAUUGUUGGUUUUUUUCUCUAAAUCAAGGUUACUUUGCAUUCCUUUUUAAAUGGGUUUAUGUUGUUUCCUCUGCUUUUCUUUUGUACUAUCAUUUGGUUUUUUGUUUACUCUUCCUUUUGCUGAUAUUGUUGUCCUUUUAUUUGGUAUAGGUGCUGUCGGAAGUCUCUGCUUAUUUAUAGAGGUGAUUCACCUAAGCUGUUUUCUAUCUAGAGCAAUGUAAGUUCCUAUGAUCCUCAACAAAUAGAAGUCAGGGUUUCAGGUUGAUGAGAUAAAAGGUGGCGUGGCUAGUGGAAGCAUCCCCUAGUAAGCAAAGGCCAUUCAGCAACAAGUCGACAGACUCACAGAAGACAUAAAUGUCAUCCAAGGAGAGAGAGUGAAUGAAGAUAAGAGCGUGAGAGGAUUGAUAUUUUAUUUUUCUGGUUCAAAUCUGAUGUUGAGAAAAAGUCAAGAGUUCUUAAUGAACGAAAGGCAAGGGAAGAAAAAGAUGUUGAAGAAGAAAUGCAGCUCAACAUUGCAAAAGAGUUUGAUGAAUUCAUAUCCCACCAAGGAGGUUUACAGUUGUUUAUGUUUUUGUUUCUCUAUGUGCUUAAGUUUGAUUUAAUUUUUCUUCUUCUAUUGGAUCUUCUCAUGUUAAGAUUUCUUUUAUUUUCUUAAUGACCCAGGAACUUGAAGAUGAAGCACACAGGCCCCCACCACGAAGUUUUAUGUCCUUUGCUCAAUAAUCUUUUUCCCAUUAAUUUGUUUUUUAGAAGUUAUUAAUUUAGUCGAAUCAUGAUGAUCAAGAUUUUGUUUUUGCUGAAAAUCACUUUAAAUAGAUUGUUAUAUUUAUGGUUUUACUUGGUGGUGAUGGUGGUUUGUAUUUAAUCCAUUUGAUCAUUUUGAAGUUGUCUGAUUGAGGAUUUAAUUGAGGAAUGAGUAGUAACAUUUUGAUCCUUCAGGGGUAUUUAAGUCAAGAUGCUCUAGCUACAGUCAAGGAAUUACUUCUGGAUUCUACUGGAGGUGACCUUCAACUGUUUGCUCCUGGCCUGAUGAGGCCCAAUUCCACUAUCACUAGAGUAGCUCUUUACAUUAUAUUGAUACACCUGAUUAUAAGUGUAGUUAUCAAUAUUGUAUUAAGUAUGCCUUGCUAAUGAUGUUCAUUGGUUUAGUUAUAGACAUAAAGUAGUUUUUUUUUUUCCAAGUUCCCUACUGUGUUAGUGUCAAUAUGUUUAUGUUUCUAU
rnacentral:misc_RNA from 1 species